AUUAGAUACCCGGGUAGUCCCAGCCGUAAACAAUGUGCGUUAGGUAUGUCGGUAACCACGUGUUACUGAUGCGCCGAAGAGAAAUCGUGAAACGCACCACCUGGGAAGUACGGUCGCAAGGCUGAAACUUAAAGGAAUUGGCGGGGGAGCACCACAACAGGUGGAGCCUGCGGUUUAAUUGGAUUCAACGCCGGACAUCUCACCGGAUAAGACAGCUGUAUGAUUGUCAAUCUGAAGGUUUUACAUGACUAGCUGAGAGGUGGUGCAUGGC
rnacentral:rRNA from 1 species